ensembl:lncRNA
GGGUAAUAGAUUUGUCCAGUUGAGGGUUGUGUAUGUGGGGAGAGGUUAUAGAUUUGUCCAGUUGAGGGUUGUGUGUGUAUGUGGGGUGGGGUUAUAGAUUUGUCCAGUUGAGGGUUGUGUGUGUAUGUGGGGAGAGGUUAUAGAUUUGUCCAGUUGAGGGUUGUGUGUGUAUGUGGGGAGGGGUUAUAGAUUUGUCCAGGUGAGGGUUGUGAGUGUAUGUGGGGAGGGGUUAUAGAUUUGUCCAGUUGAGGGUUGUGUGUGUAUGUGGGGAGUGGUUAUAGAUUUGUCCAGUAGAGGGUUGUGUGUGUAUGUGGGGUGGGGUUAUAGAUUUGUCCAGGUGAGGGUUGUCUGUAUGUGGGGAGAGGUUAUAGAUUUGUCCAAUUGAGGGUUGUGUGUGUAUGUGGGGAGGGGUUAUAGAUUUGUCCAGUUGAGGGUUGUGUGUGUAUGUGGGGAGGGGUUAUAGAUUUGUCCAGUUGAGGGUUGUGUGUAUGUGGGGAGGGGUUAUAGAUUUGUCCAGUUGAGGGUUGUGUGUAUGUAUGUGGGGAGGGGUUAUAGAUUUGUCCAGUUGAGGGUUGUGUGUGUAUGUGGGGAGGGGUUAUAGAUUUGUCCAGUUGAGGGUUGUGUGUAUGUGGGGAGGGGUUAUAGAUUUGUCCAGUUGAGGGUUGUGUGUGUGUAUGUGGGGAGCAACUAUAGUCAGUUUGGCUCUGGGGGCAUGUUCAUGAGACCUACUGCUGUAGGAAAACUGUUCUUGUGGUGAGAGGUUUUGGUCUUGAGACCUCAACCUUC